ACAUUUUUCAAUCUUUUUUAUCUUUUCAUCGUUUUAAUAGAAGCGCUGUAGGUCCGAUCACUUACGUCAAAUAUGACAGAUUUCAACUUCACAUGCGUAAAUAUUUUUUGUACAUAACUCAACGAUUUGAGACACAACAAUAGUAAAAAGCAAUAAUGGCGAGAGUUACAAGAAUAGCGUUAGAUUUGGCAUUAGUUUCUCUGAGAACAGUUCGACCAUUUGUCACAAAAUUAUGGGUCUAUGGAAAAAACUUAAUUCAAAAUACAUCAGCAAAAUCCUUAGUUUCUAAUUCUAUUGUGGAAAAGACAGAAGCAGUAUUAGAUAAAUGUACUAAUAAGUUGAUUUCAUCAAUGACCGCGCUUCGGGAUCGUCAACUACCCAAAGAAAAAGAUUAUCUUGAGAAAGAAUUAGAAAAAAUUAAAGAGAGAAUAUCAAAAACGAAAAAUUAAUAUUUAAUAUUUUGUCCAUGUUGAUUAAACUAAAAAGUCUAGAAAGGAAGAAAGCUUUUACUUAUAAACUUGCUUUAAAUAUAUUUUUUACUUUUUUUUAGAAGCAAGUAAAACUUUGAAACCAGCUUUAGGAAAUGCAUGGCAAUAUGCAAAAACAGAACUUGUACCACCAUUGACAUUAAAUUUCUUUCAUGGACCUAAGGGAAAAUAUUUGGAAGAAAGAGUUUCAAAAGCAGCUGAUAAUUUUAUUGCUGGAAUAAAAAAUAGAAUAGAUGACAUAGAAGCAGAAAAAUUGAGGGAAAUAAAACGAAAAGAAGCUGCUGCAAAAGCAUUAGCAGAAAAGAAAAAAGCAGAAGCUAAAAAGAAAGCUGAAGAAGCU